rnacentral:rRNA from 1 species
UACAGAGGGGGCCAGCGUUAUUCGGAAUUAUUGGGCGUAAAGGGCGCGUAGGCGGCUUUGCGUGUCUUUCGUGAAAUCCCUCGGCUCAACUGAGGACGUGCGGAAGAAACUGCAGGGCUGGAGUCCGGGAGAGGAGGGUGGAAUUCCCAGUGUAGCGGUGAAAUGCGCAGAUAUCGGGAAGAACACCCGUGGCGAAGGCGGCUCUCUGGGACGGUACUGACGCUGAGACGCGAAAGCGUGGGGAGCGAACAGG